AUGCCCACCAUGCUGUUACUUUCACUAACUGGCCAGAAUGGGCCAGCGAACUUGAAGGUGAGCGAGGCAGCGUUGAUUCAGGUAUCAGGUUCGACGGUGUCCGAUGGCAAAGUAGAGGAAAUGGGCGGGGGCGAUUACCUGGUCACAGUGAACAGCGUCCCCAGUGGUGAGUUUGUGGUGUUGCUGAAAGGAGAGGAUAUCUCGACCUCUAGCCAAUUUCAGAGGCAGUCCACCACCCAGAUGUCAGUCUCCAAAGUCUCCAUUAAUGCUGUUGUUGACAGAAACAUGGAACCAGGACAGAACUUUAAAAUGCAUUUCACUGUCAGCAACAAUGUCACAGGAACCAAGUUCACGAUUCGUGCCAGCAAUGACAGAAACUUCGAAAUGAAAUCGAGUAGCAGUAUUACCAGUACAGGGAGUGGCAUGGCUGACGGUCUGGUGGACAUUAAUGUUCCUGCCAACACUCCCUCGGGCACAGAUGUCACUCUGACCAUCGAGGCAGAAGUAACAGGAACCACCGACUCCAACUUUGCUGUGCUGCGCCUUUCUGUGGUUAAGAACGUAAGUGAACAAUAAAGGAUGGAAUGAAAUUAAUCUGAAAAGUUAUAGAUCAUCAAUUGUGUGGUCUGUUUGUUUUUCUUCUAGGUAACAGAUUUUACUCCUCCAACAUGUGAGGUGAUUGGGGUGAACAAUACCUGCCAAACAAACUGCAGCUGGAACUCCUGGGACCUCACAGUAAACAUCACAGAUGGCAACGGCACUGGUGUGGAUAAGAUUUGGAUACAGCAAGGCAGUGCUGACCUGAUUUACAGUUCUACAAACAGUGAUGGGGUCAAGGUAUAUAAGAACACCUACCGCUCUUCUUGUUGCUCACCCAACCUCCAGCUGUCUGUUACUGACAAGGAGGGGAAUGUUGGAACCUGCUUUUACUCCAUCAGAGUUCCUACUACGACUAUAAAAGCACCCACAACCACGCCCAAUGCUGGACCACCCUCUCUCGGCUUGGCCACUCCACUCUGGGCAUUUUUGCUCAUUUCAGUGGUGUCAGUGGUGCAGGACUUUCUCUAAUAAUCACUCAAAGAAC
ensembl:lncRNA